rnacentral:snRNA from 1 species
UUACUUACCUGGACGGGGUCGAUGGGCGAUCAGAACCAUGGCCUAGACUGAUGACUUCCAUUGCACAUUGGAGGGGUGCUAGCCUAAGAUUGACCCAAGUGGCCGAGCCAACAUCAUAAUUUGUAGAGUGGGGCAUGCGUUCGCGCAACCCCUAU